rnacentral:rRNA from 1 species
GAUGAACGCUAGCGGCAGGCUUAAUACAUGCAAGUCGUGGGGCAGCAGGUUUGUAGCAAUACAGAUGCUGGCGACCGGCAAACGGGUGCGGAACACGUACAGAACCUUCCUUUGAGCGGGGAAUAGCCCAGAGAAAUUUGGAUUAAUACCCCAUAGUAUAAUGAAGUGGCAUCACUUUAUUAUUAAAGAUUUAUCACUCGAAGAUGGCUGUGCGGCUGAUUAGGUAGUUGGCGGGGUAAAGGCCCACCAAGCCUGCGAUCAGUAACUGGUGUGAGAGCACGACCAGUCACACGGGCACUGAGACACGGGCCCGACUCCUACGGGAGGCAGCAGUAAGGAAUAUUGGUCAAUGGAGGCAACUCUGAACCAGCCAUGCCGCGUGGAGGAUGAAGGUCCUCUGGAUUGUAAACUUCUUUUAUAUGGGACGAAAAAAAGGCUUUUCUAAGUCGUCUGACGGUACCAUAUGAAUAAGCGCCGGCUAACUCCGUGCCAGCAGCCGCGGUAA